rnacentral:tRNA from 1 species
GGGUAGGUAGUCUAGCUUGGUAUGAUUCCGGCUUCGGGAGUCGGAGUUCGUGGGUUCAAAUCCCAUCCUACCCA